rnacentral:rRNA from 1 species
AUGCUUGUUUGUUCUUCCCCAAUAUCCCACUUCUGUUGCAUAUUAGUUUUGACACCUAUGGCAACUAUCAGCCAUGAUAAGAAGAAAAAGCCAGGAAGCUACAAAUGGCUCAGGUCAUGCCUGACUCUGCCCAUCCGCUCACCAAUUUAUAUGGAAGAUGCCUUUGCACUGUACCUACUAGAUCAUCCAACAUGUGCCAAUGGACACUCACAUAAGGUUUAUGAUAUUGUUCAGGAGGAAGCAAAAUAUCUGUGUUCCUACAGUUUCAUCUUUUCAGCACAUGAUUUGAGGACUAUGGCCCUGUUCGUUUGGAUUUUAAUCACCUUUGGAUUCGCUUCGGAUUUUAAUCACCUUUGGAUUCGCUUCAGUGGCAAAGCUGAUUCGCAGAAUCAGGUUAGCCACCGAAGCACACUUUGA